GGGGAGUGAAAUAGAACCUGAAACCCUGCACUUACAAGCUGUGGAAGCACAUUUCUUGUGUGACCGCGUUCUUUUUGUAGAACGGGCCAACGAGUUACGUUAAGUAGCAAGGUUAAGCCCUUAAGGUGCGGAGCCGUAGCGAAAGCGAGUUUUAACUGAGCGUUCAGUUACUUGACGUAGACCCGAAACCGGGCGACCUACCCAUGAGCAGGAUGAAGC
rnacentral:rRNA from 1 species